GGGGAUUUAGCUCAGUUGGUAGAGCGUUCGCUUAGCAUCCGGUAUCUAUUGCGAAAGGUCGCGUGUUCGACUCAUGCAGUCUCCA
rnacentral:tRNA from 1 species